CAGUCGCCGCGGUAAUACGAAGGUCCCGAGCGUUGUUCGGAAUCACUGGGCGUAAAGGGAGCGUAGGCGGCGUGGUAAGUCAGAUGUGAAAUCCCGGGGCUCAACCCCGGAACUGCAUCCGAUACUGCCAUGCUAGAGGAUUGGAGAGGUAGCUGGAAUUCUUGGUGUAGCAGUGAAAUGCGUGGAGAUCAAGAGGAACACUCGUGGCGAAAGCGAGCUACUGGACAAUAACUGACGCUGAGGCUCGAAGGCCAGGGUAGCGAAAGGGAUUAGAUACCCGGGUAGUCCCUGUCUCUUAUAC
rnacentral:rRNA from 1 species